rnacentral:rRNA from 1 species
UACGGAGGAUGUGAGCGUUAUCCGGAUUUAUUGGGUUUAAAGGGUGCGUAGGCGGGCUUUUAAGUCAGCGGUAAAAAUUCGGGGCUCAACCCCGUCCGGCCGUUGAAACUGGGGGCCUUGAGUGGGCGAGAAGAAGGCGGAAUGCGUGGUGUAGCGGUGAAAUGCAUAGAUAUCACGCAGAACCCCGAUUGCGAAGGCAGCCUUCCGGCGCCCUACUGACGCUGAGGCACGAAAGUGCGGGGAUCGAACAGG